UACGUGAGGUGGCAAGCGUUGUCCGGAUUUAUUGGGUUUAAAGGGUGCGUAGGCGGCUUUGUAAGUCAGUGGUGAAAUAUGGCAGCUCAACUGUCAAGGUGCCAUUGAUACUGCGGAGCUUGAGUACAGAUGAGGUAGGCGGAAUUGACGGUGUAGCGGUGAAAUGCUUAGAUAUCGUCAAGAACACCUAUAGCGAAGGCAGCUUACUAGGCUGUAACUGACGCUGAGGCACGAAAGUGUGGGGAGUC
rnacentral:rRNA from 1 species